CCCUGCAUCAGGUUCCUUGCUCAGCGGAGAGCCUGCUUCUCCCUCUGCCUGCUGCCCCCCUGCUUGUGCUCUCUCUCUAUAUAUAUAUCUGACAAAUAAAUAAAUAAAAUCUUAAUUUUAUUUAUUACCACUAUCUUCUCCUAUCACCACUUUCUUCUCCAAAUCCACUGCUCCGAUAGCUAUCUGCUCCCUUUCUUUAGGGCACACUGCAAUGCACCCAUGGGCUAUGGCUGCUUCCUUGAAAUUAUCCUCAUCUUGUCACUGAAUCCCAUGAGCACUGCUUAUCCUUAUUCAAUUUAACCUUUUCCUGGCAGGAUUUGACACCACUGACUGCUCCUAAAGCACUCUCUCCCAGGGUGCUGGGGGGCUCAGUCACUUAAGCAUCAACUCUUGAUUUUGGCUCAGGUCAUGAUCUUAGGGUCCUGAGAUUGAGCCUCGAGUCAGGCAAGGUGUGGAGACUGCUUAGGAUUCUCUCUCUCUCCCCUUCCCCCUUGCUCUCUCUAAAAUAAAAAUAAAUAAACCUUUAAAAAAUAAAUGUAAGGGUGUUCAUUUUUUUUAAAAAAUCCACUUUUUAGCUUAGUAUUCAAUAUCACCACUAUCUACUCAGUUCCCAUGACCAAAAGCCUGGUAGACAUUCUUGACUUCUUUAACCUGCAAACCCAGUAAAGACCAAGUCCUGGGGGUUAUACCUCUCAACUCUCAAGUCCUUCUAUCAUUCUGCAUUUUUACCACCAUUCCCAUAGUCAAGGCCACCAUCAUUUAUAUCAUGAACUAUCCCAGUAGUCCCCAAACCGUAUUCUUAUAUCCAGGCUUGCUCUCCUCCAAUUCAUUUUCCAUGCUGCUGAAAUGAUUGUAAUUCAGGUUUAUGCCUUCCACUGCCCUGCUUAAAAUCCUUGUUGUCCUUAGAAUAACACCCCAAUUUGUUAACAUAAUUUACAAGGUCUUCUGUAUCUGAGUCCUGCCUUCUGCUUUAGCCUGAUUUCAUGCCAUUCUUCCUCUUGCAUUCUUUGCCUCUUCCACAGAGGCCUUCCAGCAGCCGUUCCUGGGUAUAUUGUACAUACUUUAUUAUGCUUUCAGGCCUGGAAUACAGUUCUCCUCUGCCCACUCUUAGCAAACACCCACUUGUCCUUCACGGCUCAGCUUGUAUAUCACUUCCACUAAUCUUCUAGGGGUAAGGCAAGUGUCCUUGCAGCAGGGUCUCAUUGCAUCCUCCAUGUCUGUAGCAGUAUUAUCCACAUCUAGUUGUUCAAGUGUCCCUCUUCCUCUGUUUGCACCCUCAUACAGCCAGUGUCUACUAUAGGUCCUGGCACAUAGACGAGCCAGUGUCAACUUGCUGACUCAGUCCUUCAGCUAGUCUGAGCUUUUGGCCAUUUUUCAAACACACAUUAUAAUCUCCCAUCUUUGUGCCUCUGCUUGUGAUGUUUUUGUGCCCAGAUUCCCCUUGCCUUCUAUGCCAACCUCUUCUCUCUCUACUUAUUGUUAAGCCUCAGCUUAAAUUCAACUUCUCCCAGCAUGCUCUCCUAAUUGAUAUGGUCAGUCUUUCCCUUACCCUAGGAAAAUGCAGUUGAAGGCAACAUUUUGCAUAUAUCUUCUGAACGCUUAUACAACCUCCUGAAGUCUAUCCAUAGACCCCUUUAGUUUUCUGUAGAGCUGGACACAGACUGGCGAGAUGGUCACUAAGCCAGUUUUCUCUUCUUCCUGAGCACACAGCUAGCCUACAUUUCCUGGCCUCCACUGCAGUUGGGAGUAGCUGUAAGACUGAGUUUUACACCAUUUCCAGAUCAAACCCUUCAAAAUCCCUCACAUUAUCUUCCGCAUUCCUCUCCCAUCUGUGAUGUAGAUGAGUAUGAUGCCCAUAGAAGCCACAUGUUAAAGAUGUCCAAGCCACAAGAUGAAAGGAGUCUGGAUCACCAUGUGGAGGAGAGGCGCCCUCCAAUCAGAUAUAAGUGUGUGAGAGGGUUUUGCUUCCCUUGAUUUCAGCCCCAUCAAUAGCCAACUGGAGGCAGGCAGGUGCUCCUCCUGCUGACGCAUGGUCAGAAGGUUCGUAGUCGCCUACCCUUACGUCACAGUGCCUGCAUCAUCACGUCACUUCAGCUCAUCACGUAGACAUGUUCUCAUCUCGGAUCGUCUCAAUAAGGGUAACUAAAAAAGAUCCAGGUCUGGAACUGAGCCUAUUCACCUGGAGAAGAAGAUUUUGGAAGGACAGUCUUAGCAAAGUUGGGAAAAAUUCAGGCUGGAACUUGAUGCAGAAUCCAUUGCCACGUGGUGACAACAGCGACUCUCCCAGCGCCCAUCACGUUGUCUAGAAUCAGAGUUUGCUGAAUGAAGGAAUGUAGAAGUCUCCUUACUGGUCAAACCUACCUCCUCCACGCUGAAUCACAGACUGACGUGCAAAAAUGGAAACCGGAUCUCAUUACUCUCUUGCUCAAAACCCUUUGUGAAUAUUAAUAAUGGGACACCUCAUUGAAACGGAGUCUGGAAGCUCCGCAGGGGGAGCUCUUAUGCCCUACCAUUCCUAGUAAAUUGCACACCCAACAGGAAGACCCAGCAGGACCUGACUUUGCACGUGGUACUACUUUACUAUCCGAGCUGGAGGAAGAAAGGCUUUCCUUACUCGUGCCACCCCCACCUCCCCCGCAACAACUCAGCCAAUGAGAAGCCACUAUACUUGGAACUCCCAGUUUACUCCAUUGGACUUGUAGUUUAUAACAGCCUUCCAACUUACCCCUUUUCUCCUUAAAAAAGCGUACCUUUCUUUUGUUCUCCAUACCUGUCUACGGUUUUGCUCCUUUUAUUUCCAAACAAACCCAUUUUUUGCUGGUAAAGCACCUAGCAGUUUUUAUUUUUAAGGUUAACACCUUCAAGCCUUCUACCUUCACCUAUAGGAAAAUAAGAAACGUCAUCACCUCUAUGCUAUGAACCAGAUACUAUACUAAAAGCUUUGUAAGAACUAAAUCAUUCUUUCAAUAACUCCGUAGAUGGAAGCACUAUUUUUUUUUUUUUAAUUUAUUUGUCAGAGAGAGACCACAAGCAGGGGGAGCAGCAGGCAGAGGGAGAGGGAGAAGCAGGCUCCCCGCGGAGCAGGGAGCCCGAUGUGGGGCUCGAUCCCAGGACCCUGGGAUCAUGACCUGAGCUGAAGGCAGACGCCUAACCGACUGAGCCACCCAGGUGUCCCUGGAGGCACUAUUUUUGUUUAGUAUUUCCAUCCCACAAAUGAGGAAAGCAAGGCACAGAGGAGUUCAAUAAUUUCACACAGUUGAUAAGAACAGCCACAGCUGGAACCGAGGCAAUGUGACGUCAGAACCUGUGCUAUGGAGUACUUCAUCAGUCUGCCUCCAAACUUCUCGGCACCAUUGAUGAGACCCUCUGCUGCCGACAAGGGGAUCCAUAAGCCUGAUGAUGCUGGGAUGGUGUAUCAGGGUUCUCCAGAGAAACAGAACCAGUAGGAGAUGGGUAUAUGUCUGUAUAUGUAUAUUUAUUUAUAUAGAAAAGAUUUAUUCUGAGGAAUUGGCUCAUGUGCUUAUGGAGGCUGAGAAGUCCCACGAUCUGCCAUCAGCAAGCUGGAGACCCAAGAAAGCAGGCGGCACAGUUCAGUCCGAGUCUGAAGGCCUGAGAACCAACGGUGUAAACUCCAGUCUGAGGGCAGGAGAAGAAAAGAUGAGAUGUCACUGCUCAACAGGCAGGCAGGACACAAAAAAGGGGUGAAUUCCUCCUUCCUCCACCUUUGUUUCUAUUCAGGCCCUCAACAAACUGUGGAUGAUGGUUCCCCCCCGCCCGCCCCCCCCCCCCCAUGAGGAAGUGCAAUCUACUGAGUUCACUGAUUUAAAGGCUCAUCUCACCUGGAAACACCCUCCCAACCACAUCCAGAAACAAAGUUUAAUCCGAAUACCUACUCUAUGGUUGGUCAAGUCUACACGUAAGAUUAACCAUCCAGAUGGGAAGGAGCGUGGGUGGGUGGGGAAUUGCCCCAGAGCGGAUCAGGCUAGAAUGGGGCCUUCAAAGGGCAAAGAAUGUUGUUGCUUUAGGACAGAGAAGUAGACAGGGCCAAUUCAAGCAGGGCCAUGUUGACCAGGGCAAAGGGUUUGGAUUUUAUUUGCUGUGGAAUAGAAAGUCCUUGGAGAAUUGAAAGCAAACUAGUGAUAAGAUUUGAUGUACAUUUCUAAAUGAUUCCUCUGACUUUUGGGUGCAGGAUGGGACCACAGAGGAAUCAGGGAGGCCAGUCAGAGCUCUUCAGUAGUCCCCAUGAACUGGUUCUCCAAGGUCCGGUGCUGGGCCAUUGCUAGUCUCUGGUUCCCUUUGUCAUUUCCUCCAUUGUCUACACAGUGGACAGCUGUCCUGUUUUAAGAUGCAGCCAUGGCUUCCUGUCUGAGGCUUUCCCUGACUCACUGCCCCCAAUAAAAUUGUCCAGUACCUUGUUUGUGUCCCCUUGAAACCUGCUUCGAAUAUUUUAAUACUGCGGUGUAAUACAAAAAUAUAUUUAGACUUUGUCCUAGGUCCUGGCAAGGAGGAACUAAAACGCUGGAAUUUCCCGAGUGAUAGGAUUGACUUUGCCAGUCAUAAUGAGCCCCUUUCAUCACACCUGAGUUUAUGCUGAUGGAGACUUAGAGUGGACCCCUAGAUAGCCUCAAGAUGGGACCGGUCAUCUAAAAGACCCAGUGACUGGGGAGUGGGAAUUUUCAGCCCCUCCCACUGAGCUCUGGGAAGGUGCAGUGGGCUGGAGAGUGAACUCUGUAAAAACUAUUGAACAAGAUUUGGAGAGCUUCCAGGUUGGCGAACACUACGAGGUGCUGGAAGGGUGGUGCAUCCAGAGAGGGCAAGGGAGCUCCACGCCCCUUUCCCAUACCUGGCCCUCUGCAUCUUUUCCAUUUGGCUGUUCACAAGUUCUAUCUUUAUAAUAAACCAGUAAAUGUAAGUAAAGUGCUUUCCUGAGAUCUGUGAUCCAUUCUAGCAAAUUACCAAAACUGAGGAGGGGUUGUCAGAAACUCAGACUUUGUAGGCAAAUUGGUCAGAGGUGUAGAUUACUUGGGGACCCUAUACUUGUGACUGGAGUCUAAAGGGGGACAGUCUUGUGGGACUGAGCCCUUCAACCUGUGGAGUCUGACACCAUCUCUGGAUAGUUAGUGUCAGAGUUGAAUUGAAUUGUAAGGUCACAGAGAAAUCAGUUUGUUGGUUUGGAAAACCCCCACAUUUGGUGCCAGAAGUGCAGUCAGGGAAAAAAAAAUUCUUCAACCACUAAAUUGGUUUUUGUCUUUUGUUUUUUUUUGGUUUUACUUCCUCUUUAAAUAACUAUAAACUCCUGUGGGGAAAGAAAAAAAAAAAGGACAAGGCCAUUCUCAUCUGCAUGUAAUCCCGGAUCUGCCUAGUGUAUUGUACCCGCUCAAUAAACAUGUGUGCAUAAUGGAAAGAACAAACUAAUUAAUACCUGCAGUGCAUGUGGUCACACUUGUGUUGAUCGCUGUGAUUUCACUCCCUGUUCUUUAGGACACAGAACUUCUGAAUUUUGAGAAUUAGCAAUUUUUUCUAAUUUUUACAAGCUCUAAGUUAUGACAUAGUUGAACACUUUAUGUCUGAGGUAUAUGUUUAUUUAUAUUGGGGCAUGCAUUUAUGUUUCCUCAUAAUUGGGUUAACUCCUUAAUUAAAUAGAUACCAUGUUUCCUUUUCCUCCUCAUAUUCCCUAAGA